UACAGAGGGUGCGAGCGUUAAUCGGAAUUACUGGGCGUAAAGCGUACGUAGGCGGCUUUGUAAGUUAGAGGUGAAAUCCCGGGGCUCAACCCCGGAACUGCCUUUGAUACUGGGUAUCUCGAGUCCGAGAGAGGUGAGUGGAAUUCCGGGUGUAGUGGUGAAAUGCGUAGAGAUCCGGAGGAACCCCAGAGGCGAAGGCGGCGCCCUGGCUCGCAACUGACGCUCAGACACGACAGCA
rnacentral:rRNA from 1 species